GAGGGGCACACUCUUUCCGGUUUGCUUCCGGUUUUUUCCUCAGGCUUCCGGUCUGUUUGGUGCCCUGGUCGCGUGUCUUCCGAACUCUGCUGCUUCGCCCCGGCAAGAGCACUUCCUUCCGCGGCUGCUAAAACUGGUGCGCGGGUUCCCAACUUCGCAGAAGAGCUUCAUCGGCCCCCCGCUAGAGACCUCAGACCGCAGCCAUCGACGCCUCGCCUCGGGGAUCUGUCCCCACCCUCGGGGCCAGCUCACCAUGAGUCAGGCCCUGUGCUAGGUGCUGGGAUGAAGCAGUGACUGACACAGGCCUGGACCUGUCCUUGGGAAGAGUGCGUCUGUGACACAGAUACUGUGCCAUGUGGCAAAACUUGAAUGGAGACAUCAGCUCUUUGUGGGUCUCAAGUCUACUGGCUUUCAAUCAGCUCUUCUGCUUGACAGCUGCAGGUCUUGGGACUGCCCAGCCCCCAUAACCCUGUGAGUGCAUUCCUGAUAAUAACCCUCUUUCUCUUGUCCUCCCCCACCCCACAUCAUUGGUUCUGUUUCUCUGGAGAACCAUAAUACAUCAUUUACUAAUCAGGAAAUAGAUUCAGAGACAUUAAUAACUCAUCCAACCUCACAGUUAACUGUAGAGUUGGGCUUGAAAUUCCAAGGUCGAUUUUCUUAGCCAAUACACCAUGCUACAUAUAUGUAUGUAAAAAUAAAAACGCUUGUGAACUGAA
rnacentral:lncRNA from 1 species